CUUUCGGAGCUGUGCGGCAGGCUGAGCAGGUUUGUGUUCUCUUCAGUAUGUUAUGGCUUCGGGCCUUGGAGGUUGAGGCCCUGGAAGCUGGAGGAAUUCCGAGGCCAGCCGGUGAGGUUAGUUCAGGGUACAAGCUGGAAACUUUGGGAGGAUGGUUCAACGUGUAUUUGUCACAUGAAGUAGUAUUAGGUUUUUAGUAUGGAAACCAGACAAAGGCGACUCAGUGUGCGUGUUCUUGCUAUGAUGAAGGUUAUGUUGGUAGGGACAACUGAGAAUGUUGAUGAGUACCAACGAUUCUGAUGGCAGAGCAUGCUGAGUCACCUCGUGCACGGUUCGGCUGGGGUGGACUGCAGAGCCAUGCGGUGUUUCGAGAUCAUGGGGUGGAGGCAUUGGCUAGAGACUGCCAUUAAGUAGGCCUUAGCCACUAACAAAGGGGAAGAUUCCUCUAGGGAAAUACCUAGAUUAGAGACUUAGAUGUAAUAGCUGGAUAUAUGCAACUCACAGUGCCUAUGUGGAUGGAGUUCUUUGUUAGAUUGGUACGCUUUGUGGGAGUAAAGCUACUAAACAUUAACGGUUUUCAUAGGAAUGGCAAUGUGGACCUCUGUGAUGGGACAACUGGUGGGAUCUCACAUCCAGGUAACUCAGUGGGGGGUAUGUGGAAAACAUAAUGACCAUAAAGCCCAUGAUGGUAUGAGAGUAGUGGACAGAAGGGAUUUCUGAAAAAACACUUUUCUGAGGCUUUUAAUUCAGUUACUGGAAAGGGUUAAAUUCAGUGAAGAAGGGAACUGACUGUUCACAUCUCUUAUUUCCAGUUCUGUGUCAAAGGAGGAUGAAGACUAAGGUGAGUACUGAAAUAGUCUAGUGAGAAGAUAGGUUGAAAGGACAGUGCCACAAUGAUGACAUCAUAUUUGCUACUCUUGACAGCUGGGGUGACGAUAGCUUUAAACCACCAUAAUUAAAACUGAGGCACACAGAAUAAUGAUUCGGGGCUAACUAUAGAGUAAGCAGUAUUUACAUAGACUUUUUUCCCCCAGGACUCAUGAGGAAGCUGGAUUACUGGACGAGAGCAAUGUAAGCAAUUUUUUUGUAUGCAUGUGGUCCCACUACAAGAGGCCCCUCAACCCACACAUCAAUGUAGAGUUCCAUGAAAGCAAUUGUAGAGAAGAGUGGGUGGGAGAUCUGAAGCCAGACAGGGCAUUGUGUGUCUAGGUAUCUGAAGAGGCUGGUUCUUGAUAACUCUGGGAGCUAGUGUGAUUGAACACAGGAUUUAUAAUUGUGCUAUUUAGACCAGAUUUGGUGGGCACUUUCCCUAUCUUAAGUGCUGAGUCAGGUCUAACAGGGCAGUUUUAACUAUUUGUUUGAUCUUGUAGGUUCUAGAAGGGAAGACCAGAAAAUGAGAUGGUAAGUGAAACUAAAGGAAUUGUAGAUGCUAAACAGGCCAAACAAAUGGCUUGGCAUUGUUGCACUUUUUGGCAAAGUACUCCUGGUCAUAUCUUUGACCACAGCCUGCAUGAUGACAAGCAAAUGCUGACUAAUGUGAAGAUCUUAUUAGCUCUAUCUGAUGCUGGGCUUGCUUGGCAUUUAUUAUGGGGCAAGCUCAAUCUGUUGACUGCAUUAAAAAGCUCUUAAUAUUUUUUAGGUGGAGUUUAAUAAGGCUGGACAGACAGUUUUGAAAGUAAGUAUUGAAAAAUGCUUGAAUCUAGGCCAAUAAAAAGGGACAUGCAGAGAUUUUAAAUCCAUCAAAACUCCAGCAUGCAUUGUCUUUGGGUGUUUAGAUAGGUGUAUUUUGCACAACACUCGGGGUUUUUGUAAUGAUGUUGAUCAAAUGUCUGAGCUGAAUGUAACUUGUAGACAAUUUCUAACACUGAAGAACCCUGUGGCAGGCAACUAAAAAUAGUUGAGUGAUGCUUAGCAUAUUUGUAAGAGGUAUUUUCUUUUAAUUCCAGUCACUGUGGUUGCAUGCUUUCAUUUGGAUGGCUUGCCUUGGGUAAGAAGCCAUUGGGGGCCUUGAGUUCAAGAUUAAUUAUAUCCAGCCAUUUGCAAUAUGUGAGAUUUAGCUUUUGGAACAUGCAUGUGUUACCAUCAGUACUAAAUUGCCCUAAAUUUUUUUCAGACACAAAUGGUUUGAAUAAAGAAAGGUAAGCAUUGUAAAUUUGGUAUUUACUAUAUAAAUUAAGGUACUGUUAGUGAUGACCAAUAACGUUAAACAGAUGGGAAUCUCUCUGAAUAAGACUGAAGAUUGAUUGUUCAGCUGAAACAGUAUUUAAGAACAUCAGCAAAUACAGUUUAUAAAUACAUAUUUCUAAAUGGAGUGUAAUUUCUGCAGGUAUUACACAUGGAUCCCCUCAGUUGAAGGCACUGAUGGGUCUUUCUGAAUUUCUGGUCCUUCUGAAUUUCAAGGGCUCCUGUGACAAGUAGACAUGGCAGUGACUUCACCAUUUUGUUUCUGAGGUGCCUGGAUGGAGACUCAAAUAGAAGAUGGUGUCAGAUACAUUGUGUUGUCAAGAUUUUACCAUUAAAGUGUGUUAUAAACAUGAA
ensembl:processed_transcript